AUUGAACGCUGGCGGCAGGCCUAACACAUGCAAGUCGAACGAGUGGCGGACGGGUGAGUAAUGUCUGGGAAACUGCCUGAUGGAGGGGAUAACUACUGGAAACGGUAGCUAAUACCGCAUACCAUCGGAUGUGCCCAGAUGGGAUUAGCUUGUCGGUGAGGUAACGGCUCACCUAGGCGACGAUCCCUAGCUGGUCUGAGAGGAUGACCGGCCACAUGGGAACUGAGACACGGUCCAGACUCCUACGGGAGGCAGCAGUGGGGAAUAUUGCACAAUGGGCGCAAUCCUGAUGCAGUCAUGCCGCGUAUAUGAAGAAGGCCUUCGGGUUGUAAAGUACUUUAAGCUGGGAGGCGUUACCCGCAGAAGAAGCACCGGCUAACUCCGUGCCAGCAGCCUCGGUAAUUC
rnacentral:rRNA from 1 species